rnacentral:lncRNA from 1 species
GGAGUUCCCAUUGUGACUCAGCGGGUUAAGGACCCAACUAGUAUCUGUGAGGAUGCAGGUUCCAUCCCCAGUUAAGGAUCUGGCAUUGCUGUGGCUGUGGCGUAGGCCAGCAACUGCAGCUCUGAUUCAACCUCUAGCCGGAGAACUUCCAUAUGCCCUGGGUACAGCCCUAAAAAAAAAAAAAAAAGAAAAAGAAAAAAAAAAAGAUACCGUGUUUGGCACACAGUCAGCACCCAAAGAAGCAAGUAUUAGCAGAGCAUUCUCACACAUGGGCCUGGACCCUCCAAGGCUGGAAUUGCUGACGCACAACCAAGGCCAGUGCGGGGAGUGGGGAAGGGAGGGGCGAUGGCCUGGGGUCCUUCCCACGAGGACCAAGACACAGCAGCCCAGCUCACACCUUCUCCGUCCCGCUUCUUCUGCUUCCCCAGCACACAGCCCAGGAAGCCGCAGAGCUUGUGUCUGCCCAGGUCAGUAAGAUCUACUUUCUGAGAACAUCAUUAGAAGCUCAUCUACCCCAAGCCACCAGAGCCGCGUGAGGCAGAUAAAACUGGCCCAUUCCCCACCAUCUUUUUCUUGUCCCAUUUGCUCUCUUUUGUUUCUUUUCCCUCGUGUUUUGCUGAUCCUCUUCGUUUCCAAAGAAUUAUCUCCCCCGCUCUUGCCGCCAAGUCCCAAACAAUGGUGCGCACAAAUCUGUGUGCUGCUCAAGGCGGAAGGUUGUCUGUGCCAUUGAGCACGUUUUCUGCCAUUUGCAGUGUUUUCUUUCCAACACCCCAAGGUGCUGGAGCCCAGCCUUGCUCACAUAUCUUGGACUUACUUUCUCUGCGAGAAAAAUGCACAGACGGGUUUUUAAUAGAGUUUAAUUGCUUACAUUUUCCAAAACUUUAUCUCUUCCCUUCCCACUCCUAGUCAGUGCUGUUGGUUGGCUUGGAAAAUAAUUGUUUUAACUUAUUUGAAAAUCAUCUUAAAAAUAAAUUGAUCACCUUUUUUGUUUACAUUUUUAUUGGCAUAUAGGUGACUUACAAUGUUGUGUUAAUUUCAAGUGUACAGCAAAGUUAUACACAUACAUAUAUCCAUUCUUUUCCAGAGGCUUUUCCCAUAUGCGUUAUCACAGAAUAUUGAGUAGAUUUCCCUGUGCAAUACACUAGGGAAAUCUACUCAUUAUUCUGUGAUAACCUAUAUGGGAGAAGAAUCUAAAAGUAAAUUUUAAAAACUUUCCAUUCAUUCAAAAUUGUCUCCUUCAGCAGGGAGCCUGCUCGGUGUCUCUGUGUCCCUGCUGCUCUUCCUUCUUCAAGAAGAGGAAGCAAGGAGCUGGAGACUGAAGCCUGGGACCCAGGAGGGGUCAGGUCCCUGGAGAUGAGCACUCAGGAGCCCACAUUAGCAAGUGAGGUCUCUGGGGCCCAGAGAAACUAAGCAACUUUCCAAGGUCACACUGCAGUGAGUGGCUGAGGCAGGGUUACUAACAGAACCAGCUUCUGGAAAACUCCAAUGCUGUCAUUUUCUCUGUCUCCUUGCUCCCCUUUUUUGAGUCCUCAUAAUAUACUAAUAGCUCCUGUAAAGACCCACCCGGAGAAGGAACACUGGAAAUCCUUUUCCAUCUGCCUUUUGUAAAAAGGAAAUUCUUGUCUCCAUCCUCCCAGGGCUGCUUAGAGGAUUAAAUCUCCCAAAUCUAUGUUUGUUCUGCUGGGCCCCCGGAAAGCACUUCAGUUCUUAGUUUUAUUAUUUUCUCCUUCAAAAUAUAUCCGUCUUCUGUCCCAUUCUCUAGGUUCCGCCUGCCAUGCAGAGAUUCCUAGGUGAGUUCUUUGAGGAUUGGGUCCAUGUUAGAAUCUGCCUGGCAUUGACUGUGCUGCCUCGCACUGUGCUGGGCAAAGGCUGGUUGAGCCGUAGCCCUGGUCACAGGCUUAGUGAGUGAACGUGCACCAGUCAACAUCCUGAGGUGCCCAGGCAGUCUGAUGCCUUGGGCUGUUACAGAUGCACCUCUAAAGACCAUAAUGGAUCAAGCUGAUGGCAGAAAUAUGAGACACAGGAGCAGGCGAACAGGGAAGAAUAUUUGAGGGUAGGUGAAAAAUUUGGGGUCUCCUUUGAUUUUGUUAUAUAAAGGAUUGAGUCUUUUUUGUGCAUUGAAAUGGCCCUAUGUUUACAGUUUCUAACGUUUUGCCUUUAAGUUCUUCCUGUGUGCUAGGCACCAUGAUCUGGUGCUAUUGAGGGUCAAUGGUAAUGAAAACGUACUCUUCUCUAAGGUGAAAUGAGGUUCAUGUUGAUAGAAAUAAUGUGAUGAGCACCCACAUGUGGAUCUCCCCACUUCAGCUUCCUGGGAGGUUUUUCUCCUGGUCUCCCGGUGGGAUCAUGUGACCCUUUCUGGCCAAUGAGCUGGGAGCACAACUGUCCCAUUUUAUUUCGGAACUGAACCAUUCAUUUGCCUGAUGAGAACCCCUGCUCUCCGCGGUGUGAUGGUUGCUCACCAACCUGGAACCCUAAGUGACUGAAAUGCACAGAAUGCCCCUGCUGACUCAGUGGGCAGGACGCAUGUAGAGGAAAGAAACGUUUUUUUUAAGCCCCUGAGUUCUUCUCAGUCAGGGGCUGUUUGUUACCACAAUAGACCCUAGCCUUGCCUGACUCAUACAACAUAACCAUAUGUUGGAUCCUUGCUGUGAAUCAGACCGUUAACUGUGUUCCAAAAAUGAACACAUUCAAUCGCAAUAACUUCACGACAAGAUUCUUCCAUAUGUUUCUAGCUGAGCUUUGAAAGUUGAGCGGCCCAGGGUCACACUGAUCGUCAGUAGAGGAGCCAGGAUGGGCCCAGGUGGCCUGAAUCCUCAGUCCUUGUCCUUUACCCCCCGUGGUGCCAUGUUGCUGCCUCUCCAGUAUAUCGGUUAGUGCUGUAAAAGAGUUAAAAACAAAGCCACCAAGACUUAGGAAGAGGAGAGUCAAUCCGGAUGUGAACGCUCCACGCCAAACAGUGGGGGCAGGAAUGGAUGAGCCGAGGGUAUCUACAUCCCAGUCUGCCCGUCUGACCUCUGACUACAGCCAACGUGUGGACACAGACUCAGAGAAACUCAUUUAUUGGAUACUUAGCACGUGCCAAGUACUAUACACAUUGCCUUCAUUAUUUCGUUCCCAUAAUGAAGAUGUGUUUUCCCAUUUUGUGGAUGAAAAAACUGAGACUCAGAGCAGAGAAGUAAUUUGUGGAUGGAUUUAGCAUUUGUAAGUGGCAGGGUUGAGACUGAGCUGCAGGUGUGGCAGGCUGAAAGGGCAAGGCUUCUCACCAAAUGCUAUACUGUCUCUGAGCUCCUUCUUUUAUAAGGAAGCUUCCUAAAGGGUUCUUAGAUGUGGGAAUUCGAGGAAUCCUGGAAACAGGAACACGGGGGUUGGGUCUCUGCCUGUGGCAUCCUCUGGGUACAGCCCAAGUGCUAAUUAGCAUUUGUUUAUUGCCUCUAAUUACCGGAGACUCUCUGACAGUUUGAAUUCAGGAAUGCUAAUGUGAGAGCCACAUCAGGAGAAGUUUGAAGCAGAAGCCUCGGGGCAGGCUCACAGAAAUAAAACUGUUUUAGCUGACCCGCUGGCUCUUGGGAGGGCAGGGUGACUGAGAGACAGGGUAAGAACUGGGACUGAAACGAAGAGGGCCACUUCCCAUGCACCUCCUGUCUCAAGAGCCCUCACCUCGGGGGAAUUAUUCUCCAAAUAACCCAGUUCAAGCGCUGAUGGAUUCAAAAGAUUGAUGUCACUUUAACAUUUGUUUUGCAAAAAACAGAGUACAUUGUUUAUUGUUAUUAUUAUUACUAUUUUUUUUUUUUUUGCCUGCCCAGAAAGAGUUUUUCUUUCUUCUGAUAAUAAAAAAUUUGAUUUUGGAGUUGCUGUUGUGGCUCAGCAGGUUAAGAACCCGACAUAGUGUCCGUGAGGAUGUGGGUUUGAUCCCUGGCCUCACUCAGUGGGUUAAGGAUCCAGCAUUGCCGUGAACUGUGGUGUAGGUCUCAGACACAGCUCAGAUCUGGAGUUGCUGUGGUUGUGGUGUAGGCCGGCAGCUGCAGCUCCAAUGUGUCCCCUAGCCUGGGAACUUCUGUAUGCCACACGUGUGGCCCUAAAAAGAAAAAGAAAAAAAAAAUCCAGUUAUGAGCAGGUUUGAUUAUAUACCAGCAUCCAUGCUACUGCACAAGCCUUCAGGCUGAUGGGCUGGCUUGGGGCGUGGGGUUCCUCGGGCACUCCCAUAACCCUCCAAGAACAGGAGACAGAAGGAAAGGGGGACUCCUGCUGCUCUGUCACCCUCCUGGGACAGCCUUUCUCCCCAUUCCUGUUUCCUCCAAUCUUAGACCCAUCCUCCACGUUACUGUCCAAAAGGUUAUUCUCAACUCUGAACUACUCAUGUCACUCCCCUUCGUAAGUGCCAGUGGGUCCACAUUUUGCUAAGGCCAAGUCCAAGGUUCUAACUUGAAACUCAGGACUCUUUCCAGCCCAAUCAGAACCCACCCUUCCAAUCGCGUCUUCCACACUUUUCCAUCUUCUCCUUUCCCCCAUGUGCUAUUAUGCUCCAGCAGCAAUGAGCUAUUUUUUGCCUCCUCUAUGUGCAGGCUCUUUGGCACCUCAGGGCCUUUGCACAUAUGAUAGCCUCUGUCCAUGAAAUUCCUUUCUAUUAAGUCAACACCAUAUUUUAAUCAUCUGAGAGAAGCUGUAAUGGGGUGGUUAAGAGCAUAGACUCUUAAAAUCCAACAUCCUGAUUCUACCACUUAUUAACCAUGAUCUUAGCCAACUUAGCCUCAGUUUCCUCAUUUGUGAAAUGGGGGACAAUGCUGGUACCUUCCUCUUGGAAUUGUGAGCUUUAAAUGUGGUACAUUAUCUAAUACACUUAGAGCAAUGCCUGGCACAUCUUAAGUGCUGUAGAAGUAAUUGCUGUGGGAGUUCCUGUUGUGGUUCAUCAGGUUAAGAACCUGACUAGUAUCCAUGAGGACAUGGGUUCAAUCCCUGACCUCUCUCAGUGGGUUAAGGAUCCAGCAUUGCCAUGAGCUGCGGUGUAGAUCAAAGAUGUGGCUUGCAUCCUGCAUUGCUGUGGCUAAGGCAUAGGCUGGCAGCUGCAGCUCAGAUUCGACCCCUACCCUGG